AGACUCAGUGAAAUUGAACUCGCUGUGAAGAUGCAGUGUACCCGCGGCAAGACGGAAAGACCCCGUGAACCUUUACUAUAGCUUGACACUGAACAUUGAGCCUUGAUGUGUAGGAUAGGUGGGAGGCUUUGAAGCGUGGACGCCAGUCUGCGUGGAGCCGACCUUGAAAUACCACCCUUUAAUGUUUGAUGUUCUAACGUGGACCCGUAAUCCGGGUUGCGGACAGUGUCUGGUGGGUAGUUUGACUGGGGCGGUCUCCUCCUAAAGAGUAACGGAGGAGCACGAAGGUUGGCUAAUCCUGGUCGGACAUCAGGAGGUUAGUGCAAUGGCAUAAGCCAGCUUGACUGCGAGCGUGACGGCGCGAGCAGGUGCGAAAGCAGGUCAUAGUGAUCCGGUGGUUCUGAAUGGAAGGGCCAUCGCUCAACGGAUAAAAGGUACUCCGGGGAUAACAGGCUGAUACCGCCCAAGAGUUCAUAUCGACGGCGGUGUUUGGCACCUCGAUGUCGGCUCAUCACAUCCUGGGGCUGAAGUAGGUCCCAAGGGUAUGGCUGUUCGCCAUUUAAAGUGGUACGCGAGCUGGGUUUAGAACGUCGUGAGACAGUUCGGUCCCUAUCUGCCGUGGGCGCUGGAGAACUGAGGGGGGCUGCUCCUAGUACGAGAGGACCGGAGUGGACGCAUCACUGGUGUUCGGGUUGUCAUGCCAAUGGCACUGCCCGGUAGCUAAAUGCGGAAGAGA
rnacentral:rRNA from 1 species